CCGCGCUAAGCGGGGAGCUGGCGAUGCCCUGUACCUGCGAUCGCCUAGCAGGGCCUAGAUCCCCGCCCGAGGCGUGUACCGGGUCCGGUAGAGAUCGGUUUGGGAGCGUUGAUGGUUUGGUCUCGGGCAAUGAGGUCCCGUGAACUGUGUCAGGGCCGGAAGGCAGCAGCACUAAGCGGGUCUCCUCAUGUGCUAUCGGGGUAGCCAGGCCGGAGCCGACGGCCGGGAGUUCGCCGGGUUCGAUCACGUCGACGGUGGGGUGCGCGG
rnacentral:SRP_RNA from 1 species